rnacentral:rRNA from 1 species
CUCUACAGCCAUACCACUCUGAACACACCUGCUCUCAUCUGAUCUCAAAGUUAAGCAGGGUUGGUCCUGGUUAGUACUUGGAUACGAGAAAGAGAUUUUUGCAUAAUGUUGAAA